rnacentral:rRNA from 1 species
CCGCUGACGAGUGGCGAACGGGUGAGUAAUGCGUCGGAAUGUACCGUGUAAUGGGGGAUAGCUCGGCGAAAGCCGGAUUAAUACCGCAUACGCCCUGAGGGGGAAAGCGGGGGAUCGAAAGACCUCGCGUUAUACGAGCAGCCGACGUCUGAUUAGCUAGUUGGUGAGGUAAGAGCUCACCAAGGCGACGAUCAGUAGCGGGUCUGAGAGGAUGAUCCGCCACACUGGGACUGAGACACGGCCCAGACUCCUACGGGAGGCAGCAGUGGGGAAUUUUGGACAAUGGGGGCAACCCUGAUCCAGCCAUGCCGCGUGUCUGAAGAAGGCCUUCGGGUUGUAAAGGACUUUUGUCAGGGAGGAAAUCCCGCUGGUUAAUACCCGGCGGGGAUGACAGUACCUGAAGAAUAAGCACCGGCUAACUACGUGCCAGCAGCCGCGGUAAUACGUAGGGUGCGAGCGUUAAUCGGAAUUACUGGGCGUAAAGCGUGCGCAGGCGGUUGUGCAAGUCUGAUGUGAAAGCCCCGGGCUUAACCUGGGAACGGCAUUGGAGACUGCACAGCUAGAGUGCGUCAGAGGGGGGUAGAAUUCCACGUGUAGCAGUGAAAUGCGUAGAGAUGUGGAGGAAUACCGAUGGCGAAGGCAGCCCCCUGGGAUGACACUGACGCUCAUGCACGAAAGCGUGGGGAGCAAACAGGAUUAGAUACCCUGGUAGUCCACGCCCUAAACGAUGUCAACUAGCUGUUGGGGGUUUGAAUCCUUGGUAGCGUAGCUAACGCGUGAAGUUGACCGCCUGGGGAGUACGGCCGCAAGGUUAAAACUCAAAGGAAUUGACGGGGACCCGCACAAGCGGUGGAUGAUGUGGAUUAAUUCGAUGCAACGCGAAAACCUUACCUGCUCUUGACAUGUACGGAACUUGCCAGAGAUGGCUUGGUGCCCGAAAGGGAGCCGUAACACAGGUGCUGCAUGCUGUCGUCAGCUCGUGUCGUGAGAUGUUGGGUUAAGUCCCGCAACGAGCGCAACCCUUGUCAUUAGUUGCCAUCAUUAAGUUGGGCACUCUAAUGAGACUGCCGGUGACAAACCGGAGGAAGGUGGGGAUGACGUCAAGUCCUCAUGGCCCUUAUGAGCAGGGCUUCACACGUCAUACAAUGGUCGGUACAGAGGGUUGCCAAGCCGCGAGGUGGAGCUAAUCUCAGAAAACCGAUCGUAGUCCGGAUCGCACUCUGCAACUCGAGUGCGUGAAGUCGGAAUCGCUAGUAAUCGCAGAUCAGCAUGCGCGGACACG